GAUGAACGCUAGCUACAGGCUUAACACAUGCAAGUCGCGGGGCAGCAUGGGGGUUGCUUGCAAUCCCCGAUGGCGACCGGCGCACGGGUGAGUAACGCGUAUCCAACCUGCCCUUCACCACGGGAUAACCCGGCGAAAGUCGGACUAAUACCGUAUGUUGUCCAUUGACGGCAUCCGAUUUGGACGAAAGGUUUGGCGGUGAAGGAUGGGGAUGCGUCCGAUUAGCUGGACGGCGGGGUGACGGCCCACCGUGGCGACGAUCGGUAGGGGUUCUGAGAGGAAGGUCCCCACACUGGAACUGAGACACGGUCCAGACUCCUACGGGAGGCAGCAGUGAGGAAUAUUGAUCAAUGGGCGUAAGCCUGAACCAGCCAAGUAGCGUGCAGGAGGACGGCCCUAUGGGUUGUAAACUGCUUUUAUGCGGGGAUAAAGUGGCCCACGUGUGGGUUUUUGCAGGUACCGCAUGAAUAAGGACCGGCUAAUUCCGUG
rnacentral:rRNA from 1 species